rnacentral:lncRNA from 1 species
AUCACAGCGGCUUUCCCGCCUCUCCUUCACUGCAGCCUUCCCCCCUCCAAUCUCUGCAGCCUUCUCUCCUUCCCUCUCCUUGCUGCAUCCUUCCAGCCUCCCCGCGCUGCAACCUUCCCUCCCUCUGCUCUGAUUGGCUGUGCCCGUCCCGAGGCUGUUUGCACCGCGGUUCCUCACAGCACCCGCACCUCGAACCGGGCUGUUUAUCCACAGUAAAACCGCUGAGCUCUGCGAGAUCGGGAUUUGCAACGUUGUUGUAGCGAGAAGAUGUUACCAAAAACGCCACAGGAAGAAAAAAAUCUUACUAAUUUUGCGUUUAUCUCGGACCCCCCGUGCUGCAGAGGGGCGCGAGCAGCACGUGUUGCGUUCCGUCCUGUUGCGUUCCUCAGCUGCGAGGAGACCCGCGGCGCUCUGCAGACAGCGACCGCGCCUCGCUGCCGCUGCUCACAGAAGUAAAAUAUUUGAUAUACGUAUUCAGAAGACUGACGUAACUAAAAAAGAAAACAAUCAUGAAAAUUUAAAACUUAAAGGCAGAAAAAGGACCAAUUCCAUAGAAUCUCCACCCACAUCCCUUUCUCAGCAGGGCACUACAACAGUCUUAACAAGUAAAGUGCAAGAUGGAAACAUGACAUCAUUAAAACACUCUAAUUAGCUUCUAAUUUGUUCCAGAAAGGUAUCUGGUUACCAACUAAUUGAUGUAAACUGAUUAACCCUUUCUCCAACAUCCCAUUCGCCACUUUUUUUUAUACUUCCAUAGAAUGUAGUAAGGGUCAAGACUUUGUUGUGCUGCGCACUGUGCAAACACAAAUCAAAAAGACAAUUCUUACUUCAAAGAGCUUACAACGUAAUGUGUUGCAGGGGAGGUGAUACCUGCACACAAAAAGGAUUUGGAAUGAAUGGCUUAACACCAGCUAGCAUGUUUGACAGUGGUCUUAUCCUAGCAGCAGCUGGACAGUUCUGAG